rnacentral:rRNA from 1 species
UACGUAGGCAGCGAGCGUUGUUCGGAGUUACUGGGCGUAAAGGGUGCGUAGGCGGCUUUUUAAGUUUGGUGUGAAAUCUCCCGGCUCAACUGGGAGGGUGCGCCGAAUACUGAGAGGCUAGAGUGUGGGAGAGGAAAGUGGAAUUCCUGGUGUAGCGGUGAAAUGCGUAGAUAUCAGGAGGAACACCGGUGGUGUAAACGGCUUUCUGGACCAUAACUGACGCUGAGGCACGAAAGCGUGGGUAGCAAACAGG